rnacentral:lncRNA from 1 species
GCAGUCCAGCUAAGAAUCAUGCAAAGGGUGAUACAUCCAUAGUGAAGGAUAUUUAUCUGCUAUAGUUUAAUUGAUUCAACUUCAGGCAAAAUUAAAAUAAAUGGCAAUUUGCACACAAAAAAUCAAGCUGUUGCUAUGGAAACGGCUGUUCCUAGCAACAAGGUGUUAAAUGGCCUUAAAAACCCAAAAUUUGUAUAUUUUUUCUAAUUGGAAAAA